AUUGAACGCUGGCGGCAUGCUUUACACGUGCAAGUCGAACGGUAACAGGGAGCUUGCUCCGCUGACGAGUGGCGAACGGGUGAGUAAUGCGUCGGAACGUGCCGAGUAGUGGGGGAUAACGCAUCGAAAGGUGUGCUAAUACCGCAUACGAACUGAGGUUGAAAGUGGGGGCGCUUGGGGCCUCACGCUAUUCGAGCGGCCGACGUCUGAUAAGCUAGUGGGUGAGGUAACGGCUCACCAAGGCGACGAUCCGUAGCGGCUCUGAGAGGAUGAUCCGCCACACCGGGACUGAGACACUGCCCAGACUCCUACGGGAGGCAGCAGUGGGGAAUUUUGGACAAUGGGCGCAAGCCUGAUCCAGCCAUGCCGCGUGUCUGAAGAAGGCCUUCGGGUUGUAAAGGACUUUUGUCCGGGAGCAAAUGCUGGUGGCUAACAUCCACCGGAGCUGAGAGUACCGGAAGAAUAAGCACCGGCUAACUACGUGCCAGCCGCCGCCGUAAGAC
rnacentral:rRNA from 1 species